rnacentral:rRNA from 1 species
AUUGAACGCUGGCGGCAGGCCUAACACAUGCAAGUCGAGCGAGCGGCGGACGGGUGAGUAAUGUCUGGGAAACUUCCUGAUGGAGGGGGAUAACUACUGUAAACGGUAGCUAAUACCGCAUACCAUCAGAUGUGCCCAGAUGGGAUUAGCUAGUAGGUGGGGUAAUGGCUCACCUAGGCGACGAUCCCUAGCUGGUCGGAGAGGAUGAUCAGCCACACUGGAACUGAGACACGGUCCAGACUCCUACGGGAGGCAGCAGUGGGGAAUAGUGCACAAUGGGCGAAAGCCUGAUGCAGCCAUGCCGCGUGUGUGAAGAAGGCCUUCGGGUUGUAAAGCACUUUCAGCGAGGAGGCGUUACUCGCAGAAGAAGCACCGGCUAACUCCGUGCCAGCAGCCGCGGUAAUAC